CCCUUAGAUGUUCUGGGCCGCACGCGUGCUACACUGAGUGGAUCAGCGGGUCAGGUUGCGCGAAAGUGUUUCCUAAUCUUGAAAUCCGCUCGUGAUGGGGAUUGACGGUUGCAAUUUUCCGUCAUGAACGAGGAAUACCUUGUAAGCGCGGGUCAUCAUCCCGCGCUGAAUACGUCCCUGCCCUUUGUACACGCCGCCCGUCGCUCCUACCGAUUGAGUGGUCCGGUGAGGCUUUGGGAUCUGAGCGGAAAGAGCGUUUCGCUGUUUCUGCCCGGAAAACUCAGUCGAACCUUAUCAUUUAGAGGAAGGAGAAGUCGUAACA
rnacentral:rRNA from 1 species